AAAUUCAGAAAAUUAGAAAAAAUUUAAUCCCUUUAAAUCAGCCGCCUAAUUAGUGAUAUAUGUGCAUCCACUCCUUCCGAUUACAACUCUAUCUUCUCCGAUUUUUCCUAUAUCUUUUGGAAACCAAAUCACUGAUUCAAAUUUAUAAAAUACAAAAAAUCAGGAUUGAUUUAUCUUCAUUGAUCUUGAACCCAAUUUUAAUAAAUCAUGGUUGAAAUCUGCAACCAUCUCCUUAUUAUAUUUUACUUUCGUCUUCCAAUACACCCCCGAAUCUCCUGCUACUCCCAUCGAUUUACAUUUACUCUUGCAAAACCCUAGAAAGUUGACUAAACCACCACCUUACCUCCACUGCCACACCACACCACCACCUAUGCUAAUCUAAACCAAUACCCAAAACAAGGUAGCCAAACCACCAUAUCUCUUCCACCAUCGCAUGACUUCAAUCACUACCCAACUUUUCGUUGUAUUAUGUGCCACUUCCUUCUCAGUCUGUCUUACUUCCGACUUGCUUUCUUUCUCAGGCAUCUAACAACUACUGAAAAAGAUAUAAUGGAAGCAACAAAUCAAUGGGUUUGAAGGUAAGGUGUAUAUGUUUCUAAUUUCUAAUGGCCUUUUGGGUUGUGAGUCAUUCUUUUGGUUUCUUUUUUGUUUUUUCAAAAAUUUCCAAAGAAAAAGAGUGGGUGAUAAAAGAGUAUAACUGAAAGGAAUUUGAGCGGGAAUGGGUUAUGUUUCGUAGAAACAUAAACAUGUGUCUUGGAUCUCAAAGGAACUAUAAUUUUAGUUUUAUAAUGAGUAUUUAAGAAAGUUCUUCAAUUAAAUAGUAAGAAAAAUGGAAAGCACACUAGGUGUUUGUGAAAAUGUCUCACAUAUAAUGAUGUUGUGGUGAAGACAUGGUGCUUAAAUUGCAUGCAAUUCUUUGUAUCCAGGUUUGUCUACUUUGUUCUACAAAUCCUAAACCGAAACUUGAUCAUAUUAGUUUAUCAUAUAACCAUGGAUUAGAUAUGGUUCUUUUCAAUUAAUCAUCUAUUCCAUAUAUAUAUUUUUUAUAGUUUGAGGUGAAGAUCAUUCAGGUUAUUUGUAUUUUUUUCAAAUUUUAUUUUUAGAGGAUAUUGUUUUUUGGGAUUCAUGACUAUUCUAAUUUCACAAUUGAUAGUAAAUAUCCAACUUUAAUAUCUUUUUAUAGGUGUAUUUGAUUUUUAACGACAAUAACUCAUAAUGUUGGUGUCCCUUACUCUCUUUGGAGUACAUUGUUGAUUCUACGGAGAGGCAAGAUCUUAUUAGUCUUCACUAUUAUAUUGAAAAAUUAUAGUUUGAUGUUUUUUUUUAAGGAAAAGAUCAAUAUUUUACAUAACUCUUUUUUUAGGAUCAGUGCAAGGAAUACAUUGAUUAAACAUUGCAUAAUAUUGUGGCAAGUUACGACCUCCAAAUAAAAAGAUAUCAUUUUUUCUUUUGCAUUUGUAAUUCAAGUUGCAACUAUUAUCUUGAUAAUUUAGGCAUUUAACUCUUUUGGGAUCAGGGAAGGAAAUUUAACUAUUAUAUUUUAUAGUCAAUAGUUUAUUUUUAACGCAAAGAAUUUAUAUUUUUUGUAUAAAUUUUAAUUUAACUUUCUCCCAAUGAAAAUGCAAACUACUUUAGCUAAGGGUUCAUUUUAGGGAUUUUACUUUUAAAGUGUAUUUUUAUACCCGGGAGAUACUAAAAUGCAGGUACCCAUGCAGUUACAUUAUCAUGCUUUAAAAGACAAACAAAUUUUGAAAGUCUUUGGGAGCUUAAUUUUUUUUUCUAUUUCUGUUGUAAGUCAACGGAUUAUUGGAAAUGGGGGUGUUAAAAGUCGUUUGGGAGCUUAAUUUUUUUUUUCUUUUUACGGUUUAAGCAAUGUACUUUGGAGCUAGAUUGGUGUUUUUGAUAAAACAUGGGCUUUCAUGUUAAAUAAAGAUUGGUUUUUUCAGAAAUUCGUAUUUAGAUAUGAUGAAAGUUGGAAUAUUUGAAAAUUGGUUUUGUAUGGUUUUACCAAUGUACUUUCCUAAUUUCAUUUGUAGAAAAUAGGAGGAAAACUUAGGGUUUUGUUUUUUGAAAUUUUAUAGUUAAAUAUCAUCAUGGGUCUCAAGUCUUGAGUGCAAAGCAAAAUUCUAUUUGGAUGUCAUUUAUAGUAUUAUAUUUUCUAAAAUGGUUUUUUUCUAGGAUUUCCACAUGGAGUGGAAAAUAAAAAUAAAAAAAAAUAUUCUUAUAUAACAUUAUACUUUCUGGAAAUUAUCAUUUAUAACAUUCUACUUUGUAAAACGGCAUCUUUUUGAUAAUUUUCUACAUGGAGUGGAAAAUAAAAAACAAAUAUUUCUUUUAUAGCAUUUUAUUUUUUGAAAAACUAUCAUUUAUAGCAUUCUACAUCAUAAAAUGGUAUGUUUUUGAAUAUUUCGAACAUAGAUUGGAAAAUAAAUAAAUAAAAACAUUUCUUUAUAUGUCAUUCUACUUUUUGGAAAUGUCAUUUAUGUGGUGGAAAAUAAAUAAAAAACAUGUUUUGUUUAUAAUAAUUUUAAACAUAUUAACUGUGGUUUCCACGGGUUAUAACCUAGUAGUUCUUAUACAUGCAAUUGUUAGCAUACCUUGUAUCUCGGUGGCCUUUUCUCCCAAUUUCCUUAUAAAAAGAGGAGAAUUGAUAGGGUGGAAAUGGAAUUAAAAUAUUUCAUUUUCUCUCCAUUUUAUAUGCUAACCAAACAAGAGAAGUAGACUACCUUCGACUUCUCUACACUAAUUAUUUGUACCAAACAUGCCCUAAGUUCCAUCACUUGUCCAAUAUGUAAAUAUGUAAUUUAGUAUUCAUUUUCUUGGUUCAAAUAUAAAAGCUCAAAAAACAUACUUUGGAAUGAUUGCUUAAAUCAUUAUUUGUAAUUUUCCAUCUAGCUGUUAUCAAGAAGUAUACAUAUAUAGAUCUCUUUUUGCUGUUAAAAAAAUUUUGUGCUUCGUGGUUUUCCCUCAUAGAGCUUCCAUUUAUAUUUGUGUACUCGUAUUCUUAUUUUAUUUCUUGUGAUCAUCAUUUUUGUAACGAGUUAGGUUUAUUCGCUCUUAAUAUUUGUAUAGUUUAGUUAGGUUUAUUCCCUGUUAGUAUUUGUAUAUGCUUGUAGUGAAAUGAAUCACACUUGGUAAAGUAUAUGAAUUUAUUCCUUUUCAUUUUGCCUCUUUAAUUUGAAAAAAAAAUACAAUUAUUCUUUUCUGAUGCAAAAAUACUCAUGAAAGGGUAUUUAUUGCUCUCCAAUUUCAGCAUUUUGAGUGAUGUUUCUUUUUCUUUGCAGAUGUAACCAAAGGCAAAAGAAAACAACCACUCACUUCAUCAACAAAGUUUCAGGGGCCCCUUAUUUGAAUUUGGUUAUGAAGCAUUCUUUUGGAUAUAAAUAUAGCUUUCAUGUGAAAAGCGUCAACAUUGCUUCCACCACUUGGCUACUCUUUCGUCUAUGUUAGGAAUUUCUCUUGGAAAUGGGCUAUAAAAUAUACCUUUGAGUGUUUGAUAUCGCACAUAACUUUCAUAGACCCCGCCUUAAUUGUACUUUAAGUCAUAAUGUAUAGAAGUUUGGAGGGGUUGAAUUCUUGAAUGAGAAAAAAAAAUGUGCUUAGAAGUGCAAAAAUAAAACUAGUUUUUUUUUUUUAAUAAAUCUUGGAAUCGAUCCAGAUUCAUUUUGGAAAAAAGUAGAUUAAGACCAUCUGAAUCAGAUUUAGUCCGGUCUAUGAGAUAGUUUCAAUAAUAAAACACUGUCUUUUGAUACGCAGAAUGUUUUCGAUCAACCACUAAAAUUUUGUUAAAUUCAAACAUCUAAAUUAUGUUCAGAAAUAUAUGGCGA
rnacentral:lncRNA from 1 species